UGCUACCUACGGGGGGCAGCAGUGAGGAAUAUUGGUCAAUGGUCGAGAGCCUGAACCAGCCACGUCGCGUGAGGGAGUACUGCCCUAUGGGUUGUAAACCUCUUUUGUCGGGGAGCAAAAGCCGGACGUGUCCGGCUGUGAGAGUACCCGAAGAAAAAGCAUCGGCUAACUCCGUGCCAGCAGCCGCGGUAAUACGGAGGAUGCGAGCGUUAUCCGGAUUUAUUGGGUUUAAAGGGUGCGUAGGCGGGACGGUAAGUCAGCGGUAAAAAUGCGGAGCUCAACUCCGUCGAGCCGUUGCA
rnacentral:rRNA from 1 species